rnacentral:rRNA from 1 species
CGAGACCUCAGGUCAGGCGGGGCUACCCGCUGAAUUUAAGCAUAUCAAUAAGCCG